AUUAUUAGUAGUAGUAGUAGUAGUAGUAUAGUGUUUGUUAUUAUUCUAAAUGUUUCUUAAUGUGGAUUAUGUUUUCAUCAGAGCCUUUGAGAAACUUUGAGAAUUUAUACCAUGCUAAUAAUUUAUUCUCUUCUCUCUUUAUUUUCUCAGUGUCGAUUUCCAUCUGAUUGUUCAGCUACAUACACCCCAAAGGCUCUUUUAAGAGCCACACCACGAGAGCGUCUUUGGCUUUUUUUUGCAUCAUCUUCCACUGUCUCCCCACCUCCUUCACAUUUUUGUCUUGCCACAGUCAGGGUAAGUAAUAUUCUU